AUACGUAGGUGGCGAGCGUUGUCCGGAAUUACUGGGUGUAAAGGGCGUGUAGGCGGGGCGGCAAGUCAGAUGUGAAAUACCGUGGCUUAACUGCGGUGGUGCAACUGAAACUGUCGUUCUUGAGUGUCGGAGAGGAAAGUGGAAUUCCCAGUGUAGCGGUGAAAUGCGUAGAGAUUGGGAGGAACACCAGUGGCGAAGGCGGCUUUCUGGACGAUAACUGACGCUGAGGCGCGAAAGCGUGGGUAGCAAACAGGAUUAGAUACCCUGGUAGUCCACGCUGUAAACGAUGGAUACUAGGUGUAGGAGGUAUCGACCCCUUCUGUGCCGGAGUUAACACAAUAAGUAUCCCACCUGGGGAGUACGGCCGCAAGGCUGAA
rnacentral:rRNA from 1 species